UACAGAGGGGGCAAGCGUUGUUCGGAAUUACUGGGCGUAAAGGGCGCGUAGGCGGCCUGUUAAGUCGAACGUGAAAUCCCCGGGCUCAACCCGGGAACUGCGUCCGAUACUGGCAGGCUUGAAUCCGGGAGAGGGAUGCAGAAUUCCAGGUGUAGCGGUGAAAUGCGUAGAUAUCUGGAGGAAUACCGGUGGCGAAGGCGGCAUCCUGGACCGGCAUUGACGCUGAGGAGCGAAAGCUAGGGGAGCAAACGGG
rnacentral:rRNA from 1 species